UCUUCCUCCUCACCUCUCCAACACCGCUUUUCGAUAGUUAUCUGGUUCAUUUCAUGUCUCUUGCUAUUAGAUUUCGAGAAUAUUAUAUAAAACAUCGUUUCGAGUUUGUAGUAUACAGAGGUAUCAAUUAUGCCACCCUCAGUUAGCAGAGGGUACGUGACACCCUUUAGCACCUCGUAACUGGAGAUUGUAAGCAGAGAACCGAGGAAGCAAACUAACCAACGUCGUCAACCAACCCUACAUGGUUUUAAUCGCACGUCCUAUGAAACGAACAUUGGUGUCGCGCGUCAUCUGCUACGGACAAAUGUUAAGGCAUUUUCAAAGAGAGAGAGAGAGAGAGAGAGAGAGAGAGAGAGAGAGAGAGAGAAAGAGAGAGGGAUAUCAAAAGGUAACCGAGCAAUCGAUUUGAAGGCUAUUGUUCACAACCUUUCUCUCGAAGCUUAUAUGACUUCAGCGACCUAUGAACUACAAACGAGAAAUGUGAGAAUAUUAUAUCGAUAUAUAAGCUUAUAUAAGUAUAUACAUUUCUCACGU